rnacentral:rRNA from 1 species
UACGUAGGGUGCAAGCGUUAAUCGGAAUUACUGGGCGUAAAGCGUGCGCAGGCGGUGAUGUAAGACAGUUGUGAAAUCCCCGGGCUCAACCUGGGAACUGCAUCUGUGACUGCAUCGCUGGAGUACGGUAGAGGGGGAUGGAAUUCCGCGUGUAGCAGUGAAAUGCGUAGAUAUGCGGAGGAACACCGAUGGCGAAGGCAAUCCCCUGGACCUGUAUUGACGCUCAUGCACGAAAGCGUGGGGAGCAAACAGG